GACGGGGGGGGCAAGUGUUCUUCGGAAUUACUGGGCGUAAAGCGCACGUAGGCGGACUAUUAAGUCAGGGGUGAAAUCCCGGGGCUCAACCCCGGAACUGCCUUUGAUACUGGUAGUCUCGAGUCCGGAAGAGGUGAGUGGAAUUCCGAGUGUAGAGGUGAAAUUCGUAGAUAUUCGGAGGAACACCAGUGGCGAAGGCGGCUCACUGGUCCGGUACUGACGCUGAGGUGCGAAAGCGUGGGGAGCAAACAGG
rnacentral:rRNA from 1 species